AUAAUAUUAUAACAGUCUAUGAUUUGUAUAAAUCUGUCAGAAAUUUUGUAUUAAAAAUAAUGAAAAAAAAUGUUUCUUAAGUAAUCCUAAGUCAUUAUACUGUUGGAAUGCGGCUAUACGCGGGUAACACCCAGGUAACUCAAGCCAGGUGUACACGUUCCAAUACCAAAAUGCCGUUAACCGGCAAACAGCCCGCGUUGGCUGCCGUGGUCCACAUGACCCAAGAAGGGAAGAUGCUUUUGAAGAAGUUGUCUCACUACUUGUGGACAGCGUACUGCGCGAUGAGCGGCAACUAUGUCGCCAUCGUCACAGUACUGGUCGUGGUGAUUCUCAGCUUUCUUCUCCCAGACAUAAGCCAGAAAAUACAUGCAACCAACGAGCUGAAAACCAUGAAAAAAGUUUUGGAUAAGAUGUCGCAUGAAGUAAAACAAGCAGAGGUCGCGUGCCUUACAGUAGCCGACGAAAUUUGCUCCUUACACAGCUCCAUGCACGAUGACGGCACGGAAACUGUUAGUAUUAGGUCGAUUGAAGUCCAGAGAAAAAACUCAAGAUCUGUCAGUCUGCACCAGCCAUUGCAUGCGAACUACACAGUCGGAACCAGUCCAAGUUGAAAAAAAAGUCGGUUUCUUUCGGCGUAUUUUCUUUCCCAAUCGUAACACGUCCCAUAAGGAAGUCACGCUUAUGUCGUACGUCUACACCGAUUCAUUCGACGCUCAAAAAGAAAUGAAUUCCUCCAGCACGUGAUUUUCUUGUGAUGGAUCAAGUAAUUAUUGAAAUUUAUAACAUGUCAACAUGCGAUGUAAUAAAAUACUUGAAACUGA